GGCUGGUCCCAGUGCAGUAGUGUUUACAACUAAUUGAUACAAGAAGUUACAAAUUUCUUUGUUGCUUCUUCAUUCCCUACUGCUUCACUUGGCUAGCCUUAA
rnacentral:Y_RNA from 1 species